rnacentral:rRNA from 1 species
CUCCCUCUGACUCGGGGAUAACAUUGCGAAAGCGAUGCUAAUACCGGAUGACAUCACGAAAACUUCGGUUUUUUUGAUCAAAGGUGGCCUCUACAUGUAAGCUUCCGAUUAGAGAUGAGCCCGCGUACCAUUAGCUUGUUGGUGGGGUAACGGCCUACCAAGGCUGCGAUGGUUAGCUGGUCUGAGAGGAUGAUCAGCCACACUGGAACUGACACACGGCCCAG